UUACUGUCAGAUUGUUGGCGCUAACAAUUAUUUUCAAAAAUUCGAACUGCUAGAAAGAUAUAAUCAAUUCAUUUAAAACAUAUAGACACAACUGUCACACCCCGAAACCGCUACCAAUUCGGCCCGGUUCGGGCGCGUCGAACAGACGCCGAACGGACAGUACCUCUCCUGUCCGCCCAAGGCUAAGCAACCAGAUCAUGUACAAUUAAGUACCCAGGAAUUUGCUUAAAUAACAUACAUGAUCAAACACGAUGCACACAAGUGCAAUACAUCUAAGAGCAAGAAACACAAGUAAUAUACAAGUAUAUAAAGAGAGAUAGUCUAACUAUCACAAUCAUUCAACAUUUACAUCAUUUGAAUAUAUUACNUAUUCUAUCUGCCCCGUUUCACACAGAAAAUUCUAAAUCUUCUGUUUUCGCUCCGAUUUCAACACGGGCCAUUCCAGACUUAUAUUUUAUGUCUAUAAGUCCAAUAAAAUAGUAUUUCACACAAUUUUUAUUUAUAUGUAUUUUUAUAUUAAAAUUUCAGCAUAUUACACCCCACCGCAACUUCAUAAUUUAAGAAGUUCGGUACCUUACAACAACGUUCAUGGAUUUUGAUUGUGUCUCGACCCAACUAGCUUCUCAUCACUUCGAAAAUGGCUCAAUUUAACCUAACCUUUGGUCAUUUCGAAUAGAAUAU
rnacentral:lncRNA from 1 species